rnacentral:lncRNA from 1 species
UGUGCCGAUGGGAAUUGGUUACUUGUUGAAACGGCAAAGCAAAGGAUCACCGGGUUACAUCUAGAACUGCUGCUGUCCGUGCAUUAGAGAACAACGAUAAUAUACUUUGUUAUAAGAACUCAACUUCUGCCAGUUCACAAAAAUAAUGUUUAUAUUGUAGAGAGCAAUAUUUUUAGAUAGUGCUAUUAUUUUUAUCAUGCUGUUGUACGUUCUUUUCCACUACG